CCCUGAGGUUAGCUCAGCUGGUCAGAGCAUGGUGCCACCAACACUAAGACUGGGGGUUCAACCCCCUUAUGGGCU